UACCAGCACCCCGAGUGGUCGGGACGAUUAUUGGGCCUAAAGCAUCCGUAGCCGGUCCUACAAGUCUUCCGUUAAAUCCACCUGCUUAACAGAUGGGCUGCGGAAGAUACUAUAGGGCUAGGAGGCGGGAGAGGCAAGCGGUACUCGAGUGGGUAGGGGUAAAAUCCUCUGAUCCAUUGAAGACCACCAGUGGCGAAGGCGGCUUGCCAGAACGCGCUCGACGGUGAGGGAUGAAAGCUGGGGGGAGCAAACCGG
rnacentral:rRNA from 1 species